rnacentral:rRNA from 1 species
GAAGCUACUAAGAGCUUAUGGUGGAUGCCUUGGCACUGGAAAGCGAUGAAGGACGUGGUAAGCUGCGAUAAGCCUCGGUAAGGAGCAUACAUCCUUUGACCCGGGGAUUUCCGAAUGGGGAAACCCACCAGUUUAACUGGUAUCUUUAGGUGAAUUCAUAGCCUAAUGAAGCGAACGAGGGGAAGUGAAACAUCUCAGUACCCUCAGGAAAAGAAAUCAACCGAGAUUCCCUCAGUAGUGGCGAGCGAACGGGGAACAGUCUAAACCUUUUGCAUGUGAUAGCCUCCAGGCGUUGUGCAAAAGGUGUCGCGGGACUCUCAGAAGUAUCUGGAGAUGCUUCAUGAAGUAAAGUUUUUGGUUAGUCUAACGUUCUGGAAAGUUCGGCCAAAGAAGGUGAUAGCCCUGUGGACGAAAACCAAAAACCUUCAGAGAGUAUCCCAAGUACCUGCGGACACGUGAAAUCCGCAGGGAAUCCGGGGAGACCACUCUCCAAGACUAAAUAUUCGCCAGUGACCGAUAGUGAACCAGUACAGUGAUGGAAAGGUGAAAAGAACCCCGAGAGGGGAGUGAAAUAGAAUCUGAAACCGUAAGCUUACAAGCAGUGGGAGCACUAUGUGCAUAGCACACGUGUGACCACGUACCUUUUGCAUAAUGAGUCAGCGAGUUACCCUUCCGAGCAAGGUUAAGCCGUAGCAGGUGGAGCCGUAGCGAAAGCGAGUCUGAAAUGGGCGUUAGUUCGUAGGGGUAGACCCGAAACCUGGUGAUCUAUUCAUGGCCAGGGUGAAGCGUGGGUAAUACCACGUGGAGGCCCGAACUGGUGGAAGUCGAAAAUUCCUCGGAUGAGCUGUGAAUAGGGGUGAAAGGCCAAUCAAACUAGGUGAUAGCUGGUUCUCUCCGAAAUAUAUCUAGGUAUAGCCUCGGGUAAAUUGUAUCACGGAGGUAGAGCACUGAAUGGGCUAGGGGUCUUACCAGAUUACCAAACCCAAUCAAACUCCGAAUGCCGUUGAUAUGUACCCCGGGAGGCAGUCUCAGGGUGAUAAGGUCAUGAGACGAGAGGGAAAGAGCCCAGACCAUCGGCUAAGGUCCCUAAAUGCAAGCUAAGUGGUAAACGUUGUGGAGUUGCUUUGACAACUAGGAGGUUGGCUUAGAAGCAGCAAUCCUUUAAAGAAAGCGUAAUAGCUCACUAGUCUAGCGAUUCCGCGCGGAAAAUACAACGGGGCUCAAGCUUGCUACCGAAGCCAUGGGUGCACCUUUUAGGUGCGCGGUAGGAGAGCAUUCUAGUGUAGGCUGAAGGUCGAUCGUGAGAACGGCUGGACGAACUAGAAGAGAACAUGCUGACAUAAGUAGCGUUCAAGGCGGGUGAAAAACCCGCCCGUCGAAAACUCAAGGGUUCCUGGGCUAGGGUAAUCCUCCCAGGGUUAGUCGAGUCCUAAGCUGAGGCCAAUUGGCGUAAGCGAUGGAAAAACGGUUAAUAUUCCGUUACCAAAUUUCAUGCAAACAUAGGAGGGACGGAGUAGGCUAUGCCAGCCUGUUAUUGGAUUCAGGUGUAAGCGUGUAGGAGGAGAAGUAGGCAAAUCCGCUUCUCUUAACUCUGAGGCGUUAAUGCGAGGAACUUCGGUUCCGGAAGUGGCAAAAGCCAUGCUCCCAAGAAAAGCUUCGAUGUGUUGUGAAAUUUGCUCGUACCGUAAACCGACUCAGGUGAGUGAGGUGAAUAUCCUAAGACGAUUGAGUUAAAUCUGGUUAAGGAACUCGGCAACUUAACACCGUAACUUCGGGAUAAGGUGUGCCUCUUUGAGUGUAGUCCCUUGCGGGCGAAGCUUAGAGGGGUCGCAGAGAAAUGGGAGUAGCGACUGUUUAUCAAAAACACAGGGCUGUGCAAAGUCUCAAGACGACGUAUACAGCCUGACGCCUGCCCGGUGCUGGAAGGUUAAGAGGAUUUGUUAGUCGCAAGACG